AAACUCUUUCCGCCUUUGUUCCUGUCUUCAGUGCUCGUUUCUUUCUUGCGUAGGAGAAAGCUGGCAGAUUUCCUAGGAAGGGGAGGAGUUCAUUAUAAAUAAAGAUCUCAAAGUGAAAGCGUUUAAGACCCUACUAUGUCAUCCAAAGCCAGGGUUGGUUAUGUAGUGCAUUCAACUAAACGGAAACCCAAGCAGGAGUCUAUUUUCAUUUCUAUGACCCACACUUGCAACAAUUUGAAAAAUGGAGUUAGAUGGAUGAAGAAACACCAGCAGGGAAAGAAAGAUUCUUUGUAAAAGAUGAACAACUUCCAGACUAUACAGAGGUGCUGGCAUUAUAGAUAGAGGUCUGACAUUUCCCUUCCUGUUUUCUUAUUUUUUUUUUAAAUAGUUUUCCUGUAAAAGGUAGCUUCUUGUUUAGGAGUAAGAAGGUAGGCUCUUAAGAUAUCUAAAAAAGCUUUCUCUUGAAAACCUUUAUACUCGUUUCUUCCUUGCUUCUUUCUUGUUUGAGAAGCUGCAGAUUUCUCUUUUAUCAUAUGCUCUAUUAUUGUUUUGGUGUGUCACAUUCUCAACUUGUAAACUUAAGUGUUCAUAUACUUGUUCACAGAGAAUUAAAUUCUACAGAGCUAAAGCACAGUCUUCUUGUAAGGAAAGAUCCCAAAGUGGAGUGUUCUAUAUCUUCCUGCUAUUCUGUCUUCAUUGAAUUGACACUCUUGUGUGGAACACUGUAGGGUAGUUAUAUAGUUUAUUCAGCUAAACAAAAACACAAUGGAGAAACACCAAAAUAGAGAAAAUUUCUUUGUAAAUAACGAAGAUUUUCAGACUUCUCAGAGGUCAGCAAGUGGUGCAACAACAUCUGACAUUAUGGAGUAAGAAGGUGAGCUCUUAAAAAAAAAGUUUCUCUUAACUACCUCACUCUCUGAAAAUUGUAGGCAGUUCAAGAUUCUGUAAACGAGACUGCUUCUUCCAGCAG